rnacentral:rRNA from 1 species
AUUGAACGCUGGCGGCAGGCCUAACACAUGCAAGUCGAGCGGAUGAAGGGAGCUUGCUCCUGGAUUCAGCGGCGGACGGGUGAGUAAUGCCUAGGAAACUGCCUGGUAGUGGGGGAUAACGUCCCGCAACGGGCGCUAAUACCGCAUACGUCCUGAGGGAGAAAGUGGGGGAUCUUCGGACCUCACGCUAUCAGAUGAGCCUAGGCCGGAUUAGCUAGUUGGUCGGGUAAAGGCCUACCAAGGCGACGAUCCGUAACUGGUCUGAGAGGAUGCUCAGUCACACUGGAACUGAGACACCGUCCAGACUCCUACGGGAGGCAACAGUGGGGAAUAUUGGACAAUGGGCGAAGGCCUGAUCCAGCCAUGCCGCGUGUGGGAAGAAGGUCUUCGGAUUAUAAAGCACUUUAAGUUGGGAGGAAGGGCAGUAAGUUAAUACCUUGCUGUUUUGACGUUACCAACAGAAUAAGCACCGGCUAACUUCGUG